rnacentral:rRNA from 1 species
CUUGAAACACGGACCAAGGAGUUUUUCGUGUACGCGAGUCAUUGGGUGAAUAAAACCCAAAGGGGUAAUGAAAGUAAAGAGAUGAGUAUAUAAAGAAAUUUUUUUUUUUUAUAUUUCUCUCUUGAGGGAAGAUGGAAAUUUUUAACAACAGCUGUAUUACACCUGUUGUUUAUUUAUAAUUUCUCGCAUUCCCAGGGCGCUUGUGAAACGCUUUGCGUUGCAAUGCGCACCUAGAGCGUACACGCUGAAACCCGAAAGAUGGUGAACUAUGCCUGGCCAGGACGAAGCCAGGGGAAACCCUGGUGGAGGUCCGCAGCGAUUCUGACGUGCAAAUCGAUCGUCGGAGCUGGGUAUAGGGGCGAAAGACCAAUCGAACCAUCUAGUAGCUGGUUCCCUCUGAAGUUUCCCUCAGGAUA